rnacentral:rRNA from 1 species
UACGUAGGUGGCAAGCGUUGUCCGGAAUUAUUGGGCGUAAAGCGCGCGCAGGCGGUUUCUUAAGUCUGAUGUGAAAGCCCACGGCUCAACCGUGGAGGGUCAUUGGAAACUGGGAAACUUGAGUGCAGAAGAGAAGAGCGGAAUUCCACGUGUAGCGGUGAAAUGCGUAGAGAUGUGGAGGAACACCAGUGGCGAAGGCGGCUCUUUGGGCCUUACCUGACGCUGAGGAGCGAAAGCGUGGGGAGCGAACAGG